CUGCUUCUCGAGAUGUGAUUGGAUGUAAGGAUGCUUCUCGAGAUGUGAUUGGAUGUAAGGAUGCUUCUCCAGAUGUGAUUGGGUGUAAGGAUGCUUCUCCAGAUGUGAUUGGAUGUAAGGAUGCUUCUCGAGAUGUGAUUGGAUGUAAGGAUGCUUCUCGAGAUGUGAUUGGAUGUAAGGAUGCUUCUCGAGAUGUGAUUGGAUGUUCAGAUAUAUUUUAUCUCCAAUCUCCAAAUGCCUUUAAUCUUCGAAUGGGAGAUACUGUGACGGACAGUGUCACACAUCAUAACAUGAGUCAUGUGGUCUUUGGGAAAAGGACCUUUCUGACAACUGGAGCACAGGAGGGUUUUGAAAUCAGAUUUCAAGGCCGACAAAAGAGGUGGCAGGUAACCUAGUGGUUAGAGUGUAGAGGAGGCAGGGUAGCCUAGUGGUUAGAGUGUAGAGGAGGCGGGUAGCCUAGUGGUUAGAGUGUAGAGGAGGCGGGUAGCCUAGUGGUUAGAGUGUAGAGGAGGCAGGGUAGCCUAGUGGUUAGAGUGUAGAGGAGGCAGGGUAGCCUAGUGGUUAGAGUGUAGAGGAGGCAGGUAGCCUAGUGGUUAGUAUAGAGGAGGCAGG
ensembl:lncRNA